GGGCGAAUCGAACGGGUAGGCCUGCUGAGAGUCGAGCCGACACACUGGGACUGAGAACACGGCCAGACUCUUACCGGGAGGCAGCAGUGGGGGAUAUGCACAAUGGGGGAACUGAUGCAGCGACGCAGCGUGCGGGAUGACGGCCUUCGGGUUGUAAACCGCUUUCAGCAGGGAAGAAGCGAAAGUGACGGUACCUGCAGAAGAAGUACCGGGCUAACUACGUGCCAGCAGCCGCGGUAAUACGUAGGGUACGAGCGUUGUCCGGAAUUAUUGGGCGUAAAGAGCUCGUAGGUGGUUGGUCACGUCUGCUGUGGAAACGCAACGCUUAACGUUGCGCGUGCAGUGGGUACGGGCUGACUAGAGUGCAGUAGGGGGAGUCUGGAAUUCCUGGUGUAGCGGUGAAAUGCGCAGAUAUCAGGAGGAACACCGGUGGCGAAGGCGGGACUCUGGGCUGUAACUGACACUGAGGAGCGAAAGCAUGGGGAGCGAACAGGAUUAGAUACCCUGGUAGUCCAUGCCGUAAACGUUGGGCACUAGGUGUGGGGGACAUUCCACGUUCUCCGCGCCGUAGCUAACGCAUUAAGUGCCCCGCCUGGGGAGUACGGUCGCAAGGCUAAAACUCAAAGGAAUUGACGGGGGCCCGCACAAGCGGCGGAGCAUGCGGAUUAAUUCGAUGCAACGCGAAGAACCUUACCAAGGCUUGACAUACACUGGACCGUUCUGGAAACAGUUCUUCUCUUUGGAGCUGGUGUACAGGUGGUGCAUGGUUGUCGUCAGCUCGUGUCGUGAGAUGUUGGGUUAAGUCCCGCAACGAGCGCAACCCUCGUUCUAUGUUGCCAGCACGUGAUGGUGGGAACUCAUAGGAGACUGCCGGGGUCAACUCGGAGGAAGGUGGGGAUGACGUCAAAUCAUCAUGCCCUUUAUGUCUUGGGCUUCACGCAUGCUACAAUGGCUGGUACAGAGAGAGGCGAACCCGUGAGGGUAAGCGAAUCCCUUAAAGCCAGUCUCAGUUCGGAUCGUAGUCUGCAAUUCGACUACGUGAAGUCGGAGUCGCUAGUAAUCGCAGAUCAGCAACGCUGCGGUGAAUACGUUCCCGGGCCUUGUACACACCGCCCGUCAAGUCACGAAAGUCGGUAACACCCGAAGCCGGUGUCCCAACCCACUUGUGGGAGGGACCGUCUAAAGGUGAGCGGUA
rnacentral:rRNA from 1 species